rnacentral:rRNA from 1 species
UGGGGAAUAUUGCACAAUGGGCGCAAGCCUGAUGCAGCAACGCCGCGUGAACGAUGAAGGUUUUCGGAUCGUAAAGCUCUGUUGUUAAGGAAGAACGAGUGUGAGAAUGGAAAGUUCAUGCUGUGACGGUACUUAACCAGAAAGGGACGGCUAACUACGUGCCAGCAGCCGCGGUAAUACGUAGGUCCCGAGCGUUGUCCGGAUUUAUUGGGCGUAAAGCGAGCGCAGGCGGUUAGAAAAGUCUGAAGUGAAAGGCAGUGGCUCAACCAUUGUAGGCUUUGGAAACUGUUUAACUUGAGUGCAGAAGGGGAGAGUGGAAUUCCAUGUGUAGCGGUGAAAUGCGUAGAUAUAUGGAGGAACACCGGUGGCGAAAGCGGCUCUCUGGUCUGUAACUGACGCUGAGGCUCGAAAGCGUGGGGAGCGAACAGG